CAGAGUGUAGCUAAGACAGAUAAAGCAUCUCACUUACACCGAGAAGCCACCCGUGCAAAUCGGGUCACUCUGA
rnacentral:tRNA from 1 species